rnacentral:rRNA from 1 species
AGAAUCAACGCUGGCGGCGUGCCUAACACAUGCAAGUCGAACGAGAAAGUGGAGCAAUCCAUGAGUAAAGUGGCGACCGGGUGAGUAACACGUGACUAACCUACCUUCGAGUGGGGGAUAACAUCGGGAAACCGAUGCUAAUACCGCAUAACAUCGCAAGAUCAAAGCAGUAAUGCGCUUGAAGAGGGGGUCGCGGCUGAUUAGCUAGUUGGCGGGUAACGCCCACCAAGGCGAAGAU